rnacentral:tRNA from 1 species
UCCCUCAUAGCUCAGUUGGUAAAUCAUCUGCCUGCAAUGCAGGAGACCCAGGUUUGAUUCCUGGGUUGGGAA